GCAAGUCGAACGCUAUUUAUAGAGUGGCGCACGGGUGAGUAACGCGUGGGUAACUGCCCUUCUGAGUGGGAUAACGUUUGGAAACGAACGCUAAUACCACAUACGCCCUACGGGGGAAAGGUCCGCCGCAGAAGGAGGUGCCCGCGUCCGAUUAGCUUGUUGGUGAGGUAAUGGCUCACCAAGGCUACGAUCGGUAGCCGGCCUGAGAGGGCGGAC
rnacentral:rRNA from 1 species